CGGACUCGGCCAGCGCCAGGGUGCAGCGGGCAGCCGCCCCGGGCGAGAGCGGGGUUUGCAGACGGGAAGGUGAGCGCGGGAGAAGCUAGAGGAACCAGCGCCGAAGCCCGGGAGACGGACACGACAAAGGUCAAAGCUAGUGAGUUCCACAAGAUGAAAUACUGCUGAAACUGCUUGAUACUGCUGUCUGCCCUCUUGUGGAGGAAGCUAUCUCAGGGAGAUGGGUUCGAUCUCUAGUCCAGGAAGAUUCUACAUGCUGUGGAGCAACUAACCCCGUGAGCCACAACUACUGAGCCCAUGUGUUGCAACUACUGAAGCCCACGCACCUAGAGCCUGUGCUCUGCAACAAGGGAAGCCACUGCAAUGAGAAGCCGGUGCACUGCAUGGAAGAGAAGCCCCCGCUCGCCACAACUAGAGAAAGCCUGUGCACAGUAACGAAGACCCAAUGCAGCCCAAUAACCCUGACUUUACUAUCUUGUGAGAAAUAACCUCAGAUUUUCAAGGAAUAUGUCAGCAAUUACUUAGAACAUUUGAAUGUCAGAACUGUGAUCAUAGAGAAUAAUGGAAAUCUGACAUGAUCAGAUCAUCAUUUUCUUGUACAGAGAACACUGUAUUCUGAACCUGAGAAAGGGAGCCUCACCUCCUCCAUGUCUACCCAUUCCCUCUCCUGAAAUGACCAAGAUUAAAAAUAAGUCAUUCAAUAACUAUUCCUGGAUACUUGGUACUCAUGCUUCCAGUCAAGGCCCACAGAGGAAAAAUAGAAGGCAUUUUGCCUCACCAAAGAAAUCGUGGGGGCACUGGGAUACUUGGAAGGCCUUUAAAAAGAUGGUUCAAAGCUUAUAAUGACCCAGAAAGCAUAGCUAAUUAAUGAACCAAGGAAACUGCAAAAAGGAAACAGUGUGAUAAAGACUAUAAUCUUGUACGGCUCACCAUUUACAAUUAAUUAAAGCCUGGAAUCUGUGAAGUUUCAUGUUAACUGGUCACCUAUUAAAAUUCCAAGGAAGCUGAAUUAUGUAGAACAUUCUCUGGGGAAUGCAACAACUCAUUGCCUCAUCUUUCCACUUAAUACUGCUUAAGUAAACAGAGCUAUUAAAUCCUUAUUUGACUGUAUUCCAAUUAGUUUUGGAAUUAGAAACUAGAAAGAAGAUAAGAUAAUUCACUUGACAACAAUGUUAGUGACAUGAAGUUCUAUCUCCAUUUUGUUUUUUAUUUAAAAUGAAAAAAAAAAAGAAAAUUAUCAAAUCUUGAACAGAAAUGAAGAAAUUUGUUUUCUUUCCUGCAAGAUUUUUAAACAGAAUUUUAGAAAGUGAUUUCAAUAUGUUAAAAGAAAGACUAUUUCCCCCUCUGGAACUGUAAUUCUCCAAGCCUGAUGACCUUCAAGAUGGACAUAUUUUGUCUCUGUUAGUUAAAAAUCAUCUGUCUUUAAAUACAUUUGAGUUUCUCAAGUAAAAUGUGUUGGGGAAAAAGUGAAAAAUAAAGAUUCAGAUUUUGAUUCAAUGUGCAGUAAACAUACAAAGUAAAUUUUGACUUUUUUAGUCUAUGUCACCUUGCAAAU